UCUGCAUCUCCUGCAUUGGCAGGUGAAUUCUUUACUGCUGAGCCACCAGGAUAUAUUUGUUGUGAAAGUUAAUAAUAACAUACAUGAAGAACUCUCAGUCUCCCUGGAGAAAUGACACUUGCUUGAAUGGGAAGCAUCAAUUAGUGAUGUUUGGAGAAGAGAGUAUACCACACUUUGGGAGCAGCAUGAGUGAACCAGAGCACAAAGGAAGAAGUGGGAACUAACUUUGAGGCAGAAUAUCCUUUGUUUUGGAAAGAGCUAUCCUCUACAUUAGAAGAACCUCUACGUUAGAAGAACCCCCACGUUAGAAGAACCCCCACUGCCAACUGCCAGGGAGA